GAUGAACGCUGGCGGCGUGCCUAAUACAUGCAAGUCGAGCGGAAAGAUGAGGAGCUUGCUCCUCUGACGUUAGCGGCGGACGGGUGAGUAACACGUGGGUAACCUACCUAUCAGACUGGGAUACCUUCGGGAAACCGGAGCUAAUACCGGAUAAUCUCUUGAACCGCAUGGUUCAAUAGUGAAUGACGGUUUUGCUGUCACUUAUAGAUGUAUCCGCGCCGCGUUAGCUAGUUGGUAAGGUAACGGCUUACCAAGGCACCGAUGCGUAGCAGACCUGAGAGGGUGAUCCGCCACACUGGAACGGAGACACGGUCCAGACUCCUACGGGAGGCAGGAGUAGGGAAUCUUCCGGAAUGGGCGAAAGCCUGACGAAGCAACGCCGCGUGAGGGAGGAAGGCCUUCGGAUCGUAAAACUCUGUUAUUUGGUAAGAACCAAUGUGUAAGGAACUAUGGUCUUUGUGACGGUACCUAAUCAGAAAGCCCCGGCUAACUACGUG
rnacentral:rRNA from 1 species